AAGGACAGUAACUAAGGCACAGAGAGGCUGAGCAGCGUGCCCAUGGCUGGGGUCGGCAGGACUCUCCUCUGGGUUUUUGGGCAGAUGAAAUGAUAUAAUGGAUGGGAAAUGGCUUUGUGAACUGUCCUUCCGACUGUUUCAGCCGGCAAUGGAGUUUCGCUCUUGUUGCCCAGGCUGGAGUGCAAUGGCAUGAUCUCGGCUCACUGCAACCUCUGCCUCACAGGUUCAAGCGAUUCUCCUGCCUCAGCCUCACAAGUAUCUGGGAUUAUAGGUUUCCACCACCAUGCCCGGCUAGUUUUUUUAUUUUUAUUUUUUUUUUUGUAUUUUUAGUAGAGACGGGGUUUCACCGUGUUGGCCAGGCUGGUCUUGAACUCCUGGCCUCAAAUGAUCCACCCACCUCAGCCUCCCAAAGUGCUGGGAUUACAAGCGUAAGCCACUGCACCCAACCCCAGGCUGAAUAUUAAUGGCACAUAACUUUCUGGUUCCCCCAUUCUAUGCUAUUUGGGUGGGGCUUAGCUCACCUCAGCCUCAAGACUGGCCAGUCAGACUAUUCCAUCUCCUUGGCCACAGUGAUUGGUUCAGGGGCAGGCACAUUACCCAAACUGGACCUUUCUGCAGGAGCUAUCAGGAAAGAUAGCUUUCUCUGAGGUGCAAGCUGUGUGGAUGAUGCAAGUGCUAGCAGCUUGAAGCCAUUGUGGAGAAACUGUCUGCAGAAGAGGCCAACUGCAGAAAGAAGCAGAGCUGAGAGAUGUCACUUCGGACCAUGUCAAUUCAAGAACAUUGAGCUCCUGGUUUGAGUUGUAGAAGCUGUAGGCUUCUCUUUAAUACUCCCUCCCUCCGCAGUAUGUUUUUUGUUUUGUUUUGUUUUGUUUUUGUUUUGAGACGGAGUUCUGGUCGUGUCACCCAGGCUGGAGUGCAGUGGCGUAAUCUUGCGCAGCCUCCACCUUCUGGGUUCAAGCGAUUCUCCUGCCUCAGCCUCCGAAGUAGCUGGGAUUACAGGCGCACGACACCACGCCUGACUAAUUUUUGUAAUUUUAGUAGAGAUGGGUUUUCACCAUUUUGGACAAGCUAGUCUCAAACUCCUGACCUCAGGUGAUCCGCCCGCCUCUGACUACCAAAGUGCUGGGACUACAGGCAUGAGCCACCAUGCCUGGCCUGCAGUAUGGUUUUGUUUUUCGUUUUGUGUUUUUUUUUUUUUUUUUUUUUGAGACAGAGUUCCGCUCUGUUGUCAGGCUGGAGUGCAGUGGCAUGAUCUCGGCUCACUGCAACCUCUGCUUCUCGGGUUCAAGUAGUUAUCCUGCCUCAGCCUCCCGAGUACCUGGGAUUACAGGCAUGUGCCACCACAUCCAGCUAAUUUUUGUAUUUUUUAAUAGAGACAAGGUUUCACCAUGUUAGCCGGACUGGUCUUGAACUCCUGACCUCAGGUAAUCCACCUGCCUCAGCCUCCCAAAGUGCUAGGAUUACAGGUGUGAGCCACUGCACCUGGCCCAGAGCUGUUUUAUUUUUAUUAAAUGCUGCAUAGAAUCAAUUGUCGAAAUAUGUUUGGGGCCAAGUGCGGUGGCUCAUAUUUGUAAUCCCAGCACUUUGGGAGGCCAAGGUGGGCAGAUCACUUGAGUGUCAGGAGUUUGAGACCAGCCUGGCCAACGUGCAAAACCCCAUGUCUACUAAAAAUACAAAAAUUAGCUGGGCGUGGUGGCACUCGCCUGUAGUCCCAGCUACUCAGGAGGCUGAGGCACCAGAAUCACUUGGACCCGAGAGGCAGAGGUUGCAGUUAGCAGAGACCGAGCCACUGCACUCCAGCCUGGGCAGCAGAGUGAGACUGUGCCUCAAAAAAUAAAAUAAAAUAAAAUAAAAUAAAAUAAAAUAAAAUUAAAAUAAAAUAAAAUAAAAUAAAAUAAAAUAAAAUAAAAGUCAUAUAUUAUUAGACCAGUUUCAUUUAGAUUGACAUAUAUGUUGUUUGCAAGCUUUUGGUAUUACAAACAAUGUUGCAAAUAUUACCAUCAUACAUAUAUCAUUUUGUGGGAGAAUAUCUGUAAGCUAAAUUACUAGAAAUAAACUUGCUGUUAAAAGGUACGUUUAAAAUUUUGAUAGAUUUUGUCAAAUUACCUUACACAGAGGUUAUGUGAUUUUGUGCUGUCUUCAGCAAUGUGUGAAGGUGCACAUUUUUCCACACUCUUGGCUAACACGUGUUAUUAGUUUUUCCAUCUUUGCCAAUCUGAUGGGUGAAUAAAUAGUAACUCAUUGGAAUUUAAAUUUACACAGAGGAACUUUUAAACUUACAAAGCUUUAGGGAUGUGUACUGCAUGGUGAGAUUGCAGAACUUAGAGCAUUUGAGCCAUCUCUUGCCUCCAUUUCUUUGGAAAGCAGUUAAUAUAGUCCUUUUCCUUAAGUAUUAGAAUGAUCUCUGAAGUUUGAGACCUUGCGACCAUAACAGGUUCCCUGGUCUGAGUCAUUCUGAAAGCAAUCACAGUUAUGGUACAGCUACUAUUUGUCACAUUCUCUAUAGGUGCCAUCAUUUAUGUAAUCUCAUUCAUAUUGAAUACUCCAAACAGACUUACGCAGUAGGUAUUAUGACCUCCAUGUCAGCGGAAGAAACUUGCCCAACAUCAUAGAGCUAGUAAGAGGCAGAGGCUAUUCAACUUGACUUGGAGCCUGCACUUUCCCCAAGACUUUAUCAUUCUAAUUGUAGACAGGACAUAAUAUAUGCAACCGUAACAAAUUCCUGAUGCUCAUGCAGUUCAUUCUAUCCACAGUCACAUUUAAAGAAGAAAUAAGAAUUCCCUCCAAAGUUAUUAAAAAUUGAUUCUAUUUUUUAUUCAUGUCUCUUAUAAAUUAUUGAAGGGGAUCCAGUUCCCAGCGCAGAACCGCACAUCUCAAAAACUCCUUCCUCCACUCUCCAAUUCUGUUAUAUCUUGAAUCUGCUCUGGAAUCUCUCAUGUGCCAAACUCCCAUCCUCCGCCUUCAGCCCUGGCCCCAUUUUCUUCUACUAAUUCCUUUUUAAAAUAAGAAUAAAACAAAAAACAAACAAGAAAACCCCUCAUAAUAUGAGAUCUACCCUCUUCAGUUUUUAAGUGUAUAGCACGUUAUCGUUAACCAUAGGUGCAGUGUUGUACAGCCGCUCUCUAGAACCUUUUCAUCUUGCGUUAUUGAAACCCACUGAACAGCAACUCCCCACUUUCCCUCUCCCCCACCAUUUUACUGUCUGUUUUUGCUUCUAUGAGUUUGGCUACUUUAGAUGCCUCAUGUAAGUGGAACCAUGCAGUAUUUGUCCUUCUGCGACUGACUGAUUACUCUUAGCAUAAUGUCCUCACCGUCCAUUUUCUUCUGUCUCCUUUUCUACUAUAGCCCAGCUCUUAUGAAAAACUUGAUCUCUUAUAAAACUGGGUAUCUCGUUAAAUUCUUCCCCUGCUUCUUAUGUCUCUACUCAUUCUAUAGAUUCUGCAUCUCAAAAUUCAGGGAACUACCCCAGCCAAGAGAGAGAGAGACUAAAUGGACAAGAACACACAUUUUUUUUUUCAACUUUUAUUUUAGAUUCAGGGGGCACAUACGCAGGUUUGUUACAAAGGUAUACUGCAUGAUGCUGAGGUUUGGAGUAUGAUUGAACCCGUCAUCCAAGUAGUGAGCAUGGUAUCCAAUAGGUAGUUUUUCAACUCUUGCUCUCUUCACUACCUCCUCCCUCUGGUAUUCUCCAGUGUGUUGUUUCCAUCAUCAUGUCCACGAGUACCCAACGUUUAGCUCCCACUUAGAGAAUAUGUGGUAUUUGGUUUUAUAUUUCUAUGUUAGUUUGCUUAGGAUAAUGGCCUCCAGUUGCAUCCAUAUUGCUGCAAAGGACAUGAUUUUGUUCUUUUUUAUGUCUGUGUAGUAUUCCAUGAUGUAUAUGUACCACAUUUCCUUUAUCCAGGUCACUAUUGAUGAGCACCUAGGUUGAUUCCAUGUCUUUGCUAUUGUAAAUAGUGCUGCGAUGAACAUACGGGUGCAUGUGUCUUUUUGGUGGAAUGAUUUGUUUUCCUUUGGGGUAUCUACCCAGUAAUGGGAUUGCUGGGUUGAAUGGUAGUUCUAUUUUUUUUUUUCUUUUGAGAAGGAGUCUAGCUCUGUCGCCCAGGCUGGUGUGCAGUGGCAUGAUCUCGGCUCACUGCAACCUCUGCCUCCUGGGGUCAAGUGAUUCUCCUGCCUCAGCCUCCAAGUAGCUGGGAUUACAGGCACCCACCACCACGCCCAGCUAAUUUUUGUAUUUUUAGUAGAAACGGGGUUUCACCAUGUUGGCCAGGCUGGUCUCGA
rnacentral:lncRNA from 1 species